rnacentral:lncRNA from 1 species
UGUUGGGAACCCGCCCAUGCCGCUGAUAUUUCAAAAAUUUUUCAGAUGGCAGCGGAAUCGGCAUGCGCGAGUUCGACGUUCAUCGCAUGAACGUUGUUUCGAGACCUUUCGUAAUUAGGUAAGAAUUAAAACUUUUAAAACUACUAGGAAGAUCAAAUCUUCACCUUGCGCGGGUAGAUGAUCACCGCGAAUCUGAAUUCGUGGUUUUAGG